rnacentral:rRNA from 1 species
GCUUGUCUCAAAGAUUAAGCCAUGCAUGUCUAAGUGUAAAUAAGUCUAUACUGUGAAACUGCGAAUGGCUCAUUAAAUCAGUUAUCGUUUAUUUGAUGAUCUCUUACUACUUGGAUAACCGUAGUAAUUCUAGAGCUAAUACAUGCACAAAAUCCCGACUUACGAAGGGAUGUAUUUAUUAGAUACAAACCAACAUCGUGGUGAUUCAUAAUAACUUUGCGAAUCGUAUGCCUCACGGCGACGAUGAAUCAUUCAAAUUUCUGCCCUAUCAAUUUGUUGGUAGUAUAUAGGACUACCAAGAUGAUUACGGGUAACGGAGAAUUAGGGUUUGAUUCCGGAGAGGGAGCCUGAGAAACGGCUACCACAUCUAAGGAAGGCAGCAGG